AUAUUUUCUUUCCCGAAGCCCUUCAAUGAAUCUCCUUCGAGAAAGGAGGUUUUCGAGGGAGGAGUUGCUCGCCAGAGCAGUUGGGAAAAGGGACUGGUGCAAGUCAAAAUUGAGAAGGUCGCAGACUAGCAUUAAGAGGUGUUUAACGAUUUCUAGGGCUGCUGAAAGGCAUAAUUGAGAAGAUUGAAGACUAGCAUUCAGAGGUAUUUAACGAUUUCUAUGGUUGCUGCAACUCAAAAUUGAGAAGGUUGCAGACCAACAUUCAGAGGUGUCUAACUAUUUUUUUGUUGCUACGUUGUCAUCAAUUUCUUCGUAGCCUUAUGUCGAGAGAGGUUCUUUCUGGAUUUCCAAGUUGAGACAAGUUUAUAAAUAUCAUGCAGUAAAGAAGAUGUUCCACAAUGGCUGGCCCCCAUCCGUAAACCAAGAAAUUAAAGUCUCACAGCGAGACCAAGCGUGGGAAAUGAUCUCUCUUCUCGUCAUAUGAAAUGAUCUCGUGACACUUCAUUGAUCAGUCUUCCCCUACCCUAACCUAUCUUGGGUGUUACCUGCGACUUCAUCCUCUGCAACUCGGAAACCAGGUAUGCCAUUAACUUCUUAUGUAUAAAUACGCAAGAAAAUCAUUGAAUGAAAAGAGAAGUUUUGAAGUAAAACUACAUUUUAACAAAGCCGCCUAGGGCUCUCCUCGAAUUGAUCCAACAAUCAAUAACGGGUUUAAUGGUAACUCACUACAUAUACAUACAUACAUACAUACAUACAUAUAUAUAUAUAUGUGUGUGUGUGUGUGUUUUUUCACGUACACUUGUGCAUUCACUUUUUUUUUUUGGCGUGAAAAUUGGUGGGUCCGUGGGACAAAUGCACAUGUGGAGGGACUGUUUCCAAGAAGCUAGCCAUCUCAUCUUCUCUAGAUGGCGCGACAACGUGGCACCUGAGAUUAACUUAAAGGGCACAAAGGACCACAUGUGCAACUCGGUCUAGGGAAGAUGGGACGGGUUAGAUCCCUCUUACAAGAGGCAUGGCUACCCCAACAAGGUAAGGGAGUGGUUUAACAAUCUUCACCCCUUCAUGCGGCGACAAAUUUGCAACCUGCCCUUCCAUCCGUGCCUACAUCUAAGUGCUUAGAAGCUAGAUGUAGAGCUUACAUGGGCCUUAGCCGAGAAAUGGUGGUCGAGCACCCAUACUAUCCAUCUGCCAAUGUGGGAGAUGACGAUCACCCCUCAUGCAUUGACCGAUUUGAGCUUUGGUGGGGGAGCCCAUGGUACCUUCCACUCCAUACAACUGGUCUCAGAUUUGGGACCUCAUCGGAAUCGACUCUAAAGAUGUCGUUGUCUACCUCACUGCGAUUUGUAAGGCUUGGGAUGGAGUCACAGUUGAUGUCUCUUCCACUCGCACUCACUGUAAGGGUGUCAGUCGGCUCAGUUUUGGUUAUUCGGUUCGAUUUUGAUUCAGUUCCAAAUGAUGGUAAGGUGGACCAUAACCGAACUGAGAACCAACUCGGUUCCAUAUUUAGAUACUCAAGCUGAUUCAAUUUGGCUCGAUUUGGUUUCGGUUCCAAUUCAGUUAUGAUAUGCAAGUUUAAUUCAAUUUUGUAUUUCGGUUAUAAUUCGGCUAUGAAAACGGUUCCACUUUUGAAUCAUGACUAUGAUGGACCAAAGGCUAUA